AAUUUAUUUUAUUGUGGUUAAAAUAGCCAGUUUGUAGUGAGGGGUUUAAUACUAGUGUGAUUU
rnacentral:tRNA from 1 species